rnacentral:lncRNA from 1 species
CCUACGGUCCGUGUCCUCUGUGGCACCUCAAGUGCCCCCUGCCUGCCCCAGGGACAGCCACUCACUGGGCUCAGAGCCCCCUGACACACACACAGCAGGGGGCUUCGAGAGUCCAGGGAUGCCUCCUGGAGUCACGGCUCUGCCAAGCUCCCCAAAGUUGACUUGGUGGGGGAGCUGGCAUCCUGACUACAUGGCCGUGUUGACAGGACCAGCGAGCAGCCUCCUGGUAUCUGCUGUUAAUCCUCAUGACUGCUCUCAAACCUCUCAACUCUACUGAAGACACAGACACAGUCAUGCCCACAGCUCCACAGAGAGUUCCUACCUAAACACCCGUGCAACCAGCACGUGAUGAAGACACAGAUAUCACCAAGAACGGCUUGAUGCCUCCUACAGAAGUGUCCAUUGCAUGUUGGAAGUUCCUGAGCUGAACAGCAAGGUUGUUUGCCAUCUUCAUCUCCCUAGGCAAGACUGCCCUGGAAGAGCGAGUGAUGUGGAUGGAGACAGGGAAUACUGAGGUCUGCUGACGUCAGUCGAUGGCGGCCAUGUGGAUGGACGGCGGGCAUGUGGACGGACGGAGAACACCCAGCAUCAGCUGGCGCAGUGACAUCAAAGACUA